rnacentral:lncRNA from 1 species
AACUGCAGUGACCAGAAUUGGCCACACGGUGGCAGCAGAGACUAUGGAAUAAAAUGUAGUGUAAUGACGAGAAUGGGCCACACGGUGGCAGCAGAGACUAUGGAAUAAAAUGUAGUGUAAUGACGAGAAUGGGCCACACGGUGGCAGCAGAGACCAUAGAGUUCUCGUGGGCAAAGGCCAGCGGGCAGCAGAUCUGCUCUGUGCCUCUCGUGCACAUUCAGUGGCUCUCGUGCACAUUCAGUGGCUCUCGUGCACAUUCAGUGGCUCUCGUGCACAUUCAGUGGCUCUCGUGCACAUUCAGUGGCUCUCUAUUUUAUUUUGUGUAUAUUUAGCGUACGUGGCGUGUGCGUUCAGAGUACAUCGCGUACAUUCAGUGUACUUCUAGAGUAUAUUGCGCACAUUUAGUGUACAUGUAGCACGUAUCGCAUACUUUUAGUGUGGUUUUAGCAUAUAUUGUGCAUAUUUAAUGUAUUUCGCGUACAUUUGGUGCACGUCACGUAUAUAUAGUUCACAUUUUGCAUAUGUAGCGUUCAUGUAGUGUGCCUUUAGUGGAUAUCACACGUGUCGCGCAUCUCUAGGGCAUUUAGUGGAUAUUGUACGUAUUUUGUGCAUAUUUAGAGUAUGUACAUUUAGUGGAUGUUUAGUGGAUAUUGUGGAUGUUUAGACGAAAUUUAGUGGAUAUCAUGUGCAUUCUGUGGAUACUGAGUGGAUAUCUUGUAUAUUCAGUGGAUAUUAACUGUGUAGCGUGGAUAUUUAGGGGAUAUUCAGUGUGUAUCAUGGGUAGGUAGUGUGUACAUGGUGUGUAUGUAGUGUGUAGUUAGUGUAUCAUGUCUAUUCAGUGUUCAUGGUGUAUAGUGAGUGCACAUCAUCUAUAUUGAGUGCACAGGGUGUAUAUGGAGUGUUUCCUUCUUUUAUAUUGUGUAUACUGAGAGUAUUCCGUGUAUUUUUUUGUGUAUAUGUAGUGGAUAUCGUGUAGAUUUAUUAUAUUUAGAGUACAGCUCUGGACCCACACCUCCAGCCCCACACCUCCAAAGUCUUCCAGCCCCACAACAAGGUCCUCCUGCCCCACACAUCCAGCACCAUAGAUCUCAAUCAACCCACUCCUGGGCCUACACAUUCCUGGACCCACACA